GGAUUAUGGCUCAGCGGUAGAGCAUUCACCUAGCACGUGUGAGGCCCUGGGUUCGAUCCUCAGCACCA
rnacentral:tRNA from 1 species